UCCCUCGUGGCGCAAUUGGCUAGCGCGUUCGACUGUUAGUCUCUAGCAAUAUGUCUGCAAUCGAGAGGUUGGUGGUUCGAGCCCACCCGAGGGAG
rnacentral:tRNA from 1 species